UUUUUUUUUAAAAAAAUUGUGAGAGCUUUCUUUGCUCUCUCACUCUCCCCCUCGCCGGCAAGUGGGCCACCAUCCGUCCACCAUGGCCGCUGGCCGUCGCUGACGGUGGCCGUCGUAUACGGCGGCCGGAGUGUACCAAAAACUCUCGUUUUGAGCCCUCUGGUUCUUAGAACUCGGAUCUGAGGGGGAUUUUCCUUAAAACUCAACCAAAAAUAAUAAGAUUUGAAGGAAACUUUUCGGUUUCUCUGUCGUCUUGCCGAAGAAGACUGUCCAUCAUCGGGGACGGCAUCCUCCUCCACUCCCGGUGGUGGGAUUCCGAAAAGGUGAUAGUGGAAUGGCUGAUGGUGGUGGCAGAAGC